AAUUGAUCCAGGUGCAUCCCCUCAGCCGAUAAUCUUUCUUCCCUAGCGAUUGGCCACACAGCUUCGGCACGCCUUUUAAAUUCUACCCACUUCCUCUCAACCAUAUACAGCUCGGUUUUUGCUACCCACCGCCUCCCCUGCUCCACCUUGUCGUAUAUGAUGUGGCAUGUUCUCUUGUCACGUCGCUUGGCUCUGUUCAUGGGGGGAAUAUUUAUCUCUCCCUGUCCUGCUGGGGUGAGAAUUCCCUAAACUGCUGCUGCCCCCUGACUUAAUGCUUUUCCAUGGUGCUAAUGGAAAUAGGGGGGUUCCUCCGAACAGAGCUAUACCGCCAAAUGUAAUUCAUAUUUUACAAUAAAGAAAUUUCAUUCAGAAUCUUCUCUUGUGUUUCUUGACUAAAAUGGUUCUGACAGAAAUGUAUUUAUGUAUGGA